GGGGAAUAUUGCACAAUGGGCGAAAGCCUGAUGCAGCGACGCCGCGUGAGGGAUGAAGGCCUUCGGGUUGUAAACCUCUUUCAGCAGGGAAGAAGCGAGAGUGACGGUACCUGCAGAAGAAGCGCCGGCUAACUACGUGCCAGCAGCCGCGGUAAUACGUAGGGCGCAAGCGUUGUCCGGAUUUAUUGGGCGUAAAGAGCUCGUAGGCGGUUUUGUCGCGUCUGCUGUGAAAACCUGGGGCUUAACUCCGGGCCUGCAGUGGGUACGGGCAGACUAGAGUGCGGUAGGGGAGAUUGGAAUUCCUGGUGUAGCGGUGGAAUGCGCAGAUAUCAGGAGGAACACCGAUGGCGAAGGCAGAUCUCUGGGCCGUAACUGACGCUGAGGAGCGAAAGCGUGGGGAGCGAA
rnacentral:rRNA from 1 species